UUCUUCGGUCUUUCCUUGGGCAGCCGCGGGGUAUUGGAUGCAUAGGGGUGCGGCAUUGUCCAAUCCCGAAGCCGAAAGCUCCUUGAUUGUACGAUUGUCUUGUGCCAUGACUGCCUCUACUUCACCCACUCUUGCCGUGGGUUCCUCUUCUUCAAACUCAACUUCGGCUUCUGAAUUUGAACUUGAUUCACUAGGUUCGGGAUUCUUCCUCUUUCGUCUCAACUCUCGCUCAAAAUCGUCGUCAAAGUCCAAGAUGUGUUCACG
rnacentral:lncRNA from 1 species